CUGUCUCUUGCUUCAACAGUGUUUGGACGCAACAG
rfam:Myotis lucifugus cont2.28331, whole genome shotgun sequence.